ACGGCGAGUGAAGCGGCAACAGCUCAAAUUUGAAAUCUGGCUCUCGGGCCCGAGUUGUAAUUUGUAGAGGAUGCUUUUGAUGCGGUGCCUUCCGAGUUCCCUGGAACGGGACGCCAUAGAGGGUGAGAGCCCCGUCUGGUUGGAUGCCAAAUCUCUGUAAAGCUCCUUCGACGAGUCGAGUAGUUUGGGAAUGCUGCUCUAAAUGGGAGGUAUAUGUCUUCUAAAGCUAAAUACCGGCCAGAGACCGAUAGCGCACAAGUAGAGUGAUCGAAAGAUGAAAAGCACUUUGAAAAGAGAGUUAAAAAGUACGUGAAAUUGUUGAAAGGGAAGCGUUUAUGACCAGACUUGGGCUUGGUUAAUCAUCUGGGGUUCUCCCCAGUGCACUUUUCCAGUCCAGGCCAGCAUCAGUUUUCGCCGGGGGAUAAAGGCUUCGGGAAUGUGGCUCUCUCCGGGGAGUGUUAUAGCCCGUUGCGUAAUACCCUGGCGGGGACUGAGGUUCGCGCAUCUGCAAGGAUGCUGGCGUAAUGGUCAUCAACGACCCG
rnacentral:misc_RNA from 1 species